GACGAACGCUGGCGGCGCGCUUAACACAUGCAAGUCGAACGGAAAGGCCUGCUUUCCCUUGUGGAUUGCGGGUACUCGAGUGGCGAACGGGUGAGUAACACGUGAGUGAUCUGCCCCCAACUUGGGUAUAAGCCUGGGAAACUGGGUCUAAUUCCCGAUAGGACUGCAGGGUGGUGCCUGUGGUGGAAAACGAUUUUCUAGUGGUUGGGGAUGAGCUCGCGGCCUAUCAGCUUGUUGGUGGGGUAAUGGCCUACCAAGGCGGCGACGGGUAGCCGGCCUGAGAGGGUGGACGGCCACAUUGGGACUGAGAUACGGCCCAGACUCCUACGGGAGGCAGCAGUGGGGAAUACUGCACAAUGGGCGGAAGCCUGAUGCAGCGACGCCGCGUGGGGGAUGACGGCCUUCGGGUUGUAAACUCCUUUCGACCGCGAGGAAGCCACCUGGUUGGAAGGGUGGUGACGGUAGUGGUAGAAGAAGCACCGGCUAACUACGUG
rnacentral:rRNA from 1 species